rnacentral:rRNA from 1 species
AUUGAACGCUGGCGGAAUGCUUUACACAUGCAAGUCGAACGGCAGCAUAGAGAGCUUGCUCUCUGAUGGCGAGUGGCGAACGGGUGAGUAAUAUAUCGGAACGUACCUAGUAAUGGGGAAUAACUAGCUGAAAGGUUAGCUAAUGCCGCAUACGACCUACGGGUGAAAGCAGGGGAUCUUCGGACCUUGCGUUAUUAGAGCGGCCGAUAUCUGAUUAGCUUGUUGGUGGGGUAAUGGCCUACCAAGGCGACGAUCAGUAGCUGGUCUGAGAGGACGAUCAGCCACACUGGAACUGAGACACGGUCCAGACUCCUACGGGAGGCAGCAGUGGGGAAUUUUGGACAAUGGGGGCAACCCUGAUCCAGCCAUUCCGCGUGAGUGAAGAAGGCCUUCGGGUUGUAAAGCUCUUUCGCAAGAGAAGAAAACUUGCUAUCUAAUAAAUAGUAAGUAUGACGGUAUCUUGACAAGAAGCACCGGCUAACUACGUGCCAGCAGCCGCGGUAAUACGUAGGGUGCAAGCGUUAAUCGGAAUUACUGGGCGUAGAGCGUGCGCAGGCAGUUUUAUAAGUCAGAUGUGAAAUCCCCGAGCUCAACUUGGGAACUGCGUUUGAUACUGUAAGACUAGAGUGUGUCAG